rnacentral:tRNA from 8 species
UUGGUAGUUCAGUUGGUUAGAAUGCCUGCCUGUCACGCAGGAGGUCGCGGGUUCGAGUCCCGUCCA